rnacentral:rRNA from 1 species
UACGUAGGGGGCAAGCGUUGUCCGGAAUCAUUGGGCGUAAAGGGCGCGUAGGCGGCCGACCAAGUCGGGUGUGAAAUCCCUCGGCUCAACCGAGGAACUGCACUCGAUACUGGUUGGCUCGAGUCCGGGAGGGGAUGGUGGAAUUCCCAGUGUAGCGGUGAAAUGCGUAGAUAUUGGGAGGAACACCGGUGGCGAAGGCGGUUCUCUGGGCCUUACCUGACGCUGAGGAGCGAAAGCGUGGGGAGCGAACAGG